rnacentral:rRNA from 1 species
AAUGGGCGCAAGCCUGAUGCAGCGACGCCGCGUGAGGGAUGACGGCCUUCGGGUUGUAAACCUCUUUCAGUAGGGAAGAAGCGAAAGUGACGGUACCUGCAGAAGAAGCACCGGCUAACUACGUGCCAGCAGCCGCGGUAAUACGUAGGGUGCGAGCGUUAUCCGGAAUUAUUGGGCGUAAAGAGCUCGUAGGCGGUUUGUCGCGUCUGUCGUGAAAGUCCGGGGCUUAACCCCGGAUCUGCGGUGGGUACGGGCAGACUAGAGUGCAGUAGGGGAGACUGGAAUUCCUGGUGUAGCGGUGGAAUGCGCAGAUAUCAGGAGGAACACCGAUGGCGAAGGCAGGUCUCUGGGCUGUAACUGACGCUGAGGAGCGAAAGCAUGGGGAGCGAACAGGAUUAGAUACCCUGGUAGUCCAUGCCGUAAACGUUGGGCACUAGGUGUGGGGACCAUUCCACGGUUUCCGCGCCGCAGCUAACGCAUUAAGUGCCCCGCCUGGGGAGUACGGCCGCAAGGCUAAAACUCAAAGGAAUUGACGGGGGCCCGCACAAGCGGCGGAGCAUGCGGAUUAAUUCGAUGCAACGCGAAGAACCUUACCAAGGCUUGACAUGUUCUCGAUCGCCGUAGAGAUACGGUUUCCCCUUUGGGGCGGGUUCACAGGUGGUGCAUGGUUGUCGUCAGCUCGUGUCGUGAGAUGUUGGGUUAAGUCCCGCAACGAGCGCAACCCUCGUUCC